GGUUCGUGGGUUCAAGACCCACAUCAAGCUCUGUGCUGACAGGGAUAUGGUGUAUGGCACCGGAAGCACUGGCAACCAAAAGGAAGAAGUAGAUAAAUCAGACAACGUCAAAACUAAGCUUCCGAGCAGCCGAGGGCAGCGUCACUAGGACGGCAAGUCAGCCUAAGGAACGGGAGAGAAUGUUUGCCGGCCAGACGUCUGACCGUGAACAUUGAGAGUGUACGUAGGAACGGAUCGCAGCCCCCGGCAGCCCCCUGAGACUCAACCACAGGAAAACAACCCAAUGAAAAAUGGGGAAAGGACUUGAAAUAGACAUUCCUCCAAAGAAGAUAGGUGAAUGGCUCGUAAAGACAUGGACAGAUGCCCAACAUCCCUGAUCACGAGGGAGAUGCAAAUCAAACCCAAGACGAGAGACCCCCUCACAGCCAGGAGCAUGACCGCCGGCAGGAAAACAGGAAAGAGCAAGUGUUGGUGAAGGUGUGGAGAAAGCGUACGGUUGGUGGGAAUGGGAAACGGUGCAGCUACUGUUGGAAAGAAUAAGAUGGUUCCUGAAAAAAUUAAAAGCAGAACUACCAUAUGACCCCGCAUUUCCACAUCUAGCACUUCCAGGCACGUACCCAAAAGAAGUGAAAGCAAGGUUUGGAUGAUACAUUUCACACCCGUGUUUGUACCAACAUUACUCACAACAGCCAAAGGGUGGAAACCACCCCAGUAGCCAUCGAUGUACCAAUGAGCAAACAAAAUGUGGUCUGUGCAUACAGGUAUCACUCAGCCUUUAUUUUUUUUAAUUAAAAAGUAUUUUUUAA